rnacentral:lncRNA from 1 species
CUUUGCUAACUAACUGUGGAAUACUCUAAAAUAGUGAAUGAAUAACAAACUUGUAUUGAAAUAUUAUUAGAGGCGGGGGUCUAUCAUUACCCCCGCCCCAAAAAUCACCUUGUCCUCAAGGUUGAAGUCUGGGAAAAUUACCAAUUGCAGCUUACAAUAUAGCCGAACAAUUUCCUACGCAAUAUUCCCAGGUACAGUCAAAGUGCCUGAGAAGCAUUUUGUUCUUCAGUUUUACUUGAUAUGAGGCAUCCUUGUUGAAUUCACUUCCUUUCUCCAACUCAAGAGCCCUUUCCGUAUGAGAAGGAACAUGUGUAGUCCGAAUAUAUUUCUCAAUCGGGCGAUAGUCUUCACUAUCAUGCGGGAGAGGUUUGCUUCUUGUACUUCUCAUCGAUUGAUUCAUCAUUAUUCAUGUCAAAACCAACUACUCUUGAAGCUAUUUCAAUGUCCUGGGGUGCUUCCAGCAUUUGCACCUUCAAAAAGUCUUCCUCAUCU